CGAACGGGUGAGUAAUGCAUCGGAACGUACCCUGGAGUGGGGGAUAACUAUCCAAAGGAUAGCUAAUACCGCAUAUUCUAUGAGUAGGAAAGCGGGGGGAUCUUCGGACCUCGCGCUCUGGGAGCGGCCGAUGUCAGAUUAGCUAGUUGGUGGGGUAAAGGCCUACCAAGGCUACGAUCUGUAGCGGGUCUGAGAGGAUGAUCCGCCACACUGGGACUGAGACACGGCCCAG
rnacentral:rRNA from 1 species